rnacentral:rRNA from 1 species
CAGCCGCCGCGGGAACACGUAGGGGGCAAGCGUUAUCCGGAAUUACUGGGUGUAAAGGGAGCGUAGACGGUUAAACAAGUCUGAAGUGAAAUGCCGGGGCUCAACCCCGGAGCUGCUUUGGGAACUGUAGAACUGGAGUGUCGGAGGGGUAAGCGGAAUUCCCAGUGUAGCGGUGAAAUGCGUAGAUAUUGGGAGGAACACCGGCGGCGAAGGCGGCUUACUGGACGACAACUGACGUUGAGGCUCGAAGGCGUGGGUAGCAAACUGGAUUAGAGACCCCAGUAGUCCCUGUCUCUUAUAC